rnacentral:rRNA from 1 species
GUAGUUAGCCGGUGCUUUCUUGUACGGUACCGUCAUUAUCGUCCCGUACGACAGGAGUUUACAAUCCGAAAACCUUCUUCCUCCACGCGGCGUCGCUGCAUCAGGGUUUCCCCCAUUGUGCAAUAUCCCCCACUGCUGCCUCCCGUAGGAGUCUGGGCCGUGUCUCAGUUCCAGUGUGGCCGAUCAGCCUCUCAGCUCGGCUACCCAUCGCAGGCUUGGUGGGCCGUUACCUCACCAACUACCUAAUGGGACGCGAACCCCUCUUAAAGCGGAUUGCUCCUUUGACCUCAUCCCGAUGCCGGGUCGUGGUCUUAUGCGGUAUUAGCACUUGUUUCCAGGUGUUAUCCCCCUCUUUAAGGCAGGUUGUUCACGCGUUACUCACCCGUUCGCCACUCAGUACAAAACCGAAAUUCUGUACUCCGUUCGACUUGCAUGUGUUAGGCACGCCGCCAGCGUUCGUCCUGAGCAGAUACAACUACUGA